CACGUAGGGCGCAAGCGUUGUCCGGAAUUAUUGGGCGUAAAGAGCUCGUAGGCGGACUGUCACGUCUGCUGUGAAAAGCUAGGGCUUAACCCUGGCCUUGCAGUGGAUACGGGCAGACUAGAGGUAGGUAGGGGAGAACGGAAUUCCUGGUGUAGCGGUGAAAUGCGCAGAUAUCAGGAGGAACACCGGUGGCGAAGGCGGUUCUCUGGGCCUUACCUGACGCUGAGGAGCGAAAGCAUGGGGAGCAAACAGG
rnacentral:rRNA from 1 species